AGGCCCUCAAAAACUUAGCAAGACCCUGACUCAAGAUAAAAAUAAUAAAAAGGACUGCAGAGUGGCUCAGUGGAUAAGCACCCCUGGCUUCAAUCCCCAGUACCAAAAGAAAAGUUUUUAUCAUACAAAACAGUGACAUAUGUGGGAGUCUUAAGCUGAAGACUAUGAUUAAAUUCAAGCAAAGGAGUAUCCUGGAACUGACAAGACUGGAAGGUCAAUCACAAGACCCACUGCACAACUCAUAUGAGCAAAUAUAAAUUACCUAAGAUGAAGGAUCAAUCAAUACAGUGUGAUGACAAAAUAAACAGCAACCUCCCUUGAUGGCCCACCUUUCCACUGGCACACAGUUGGCCUCUAGAGAUGGAGAUAUCACCUAUGUUUGCUCAUGACUGACAGAUGAAGAAUUGUUUCAAGAACAGCAAACUGAAGAGUCUGGCCAAUUCUUGCAGCCUAUCUGCCUCUGCUCUGAUGCUCUGGUUACAGACAGAAAUAUCCACUCCUGGGAUGAUCCCACCCUCAGGAUGCCUCCUUCUUACCUCACAUGAGCUGUCAUGAUUCUCUGGAGCCAGAGUUGUGAGUUUCCGAGGUGAGAUCCAAUUAGUUGGCAUGGUCACACUGGGUCACAACUCUUGUUCUCUCAGGAGCCUGAGACUUACUGCUCCUUUGUGAAUUCAAGCAGAGCUGUUGGGAAAAGGUGACCUGGAGUCUGAAGGAAGAUCUGGUCCAGGGCCUCCCCAGAGGUACCACAAAACCUAGAAAGAUCAAGUCCACAUAGUCAGUUAUUCAACAUUCAUCACCUAAACACUUCCUGAGCUAGAAACCACACAGCAGUGGUUCUCAAACUUGAGUACACAUUCAAAUCAUCUGGAGGGCUUGUUAAAACAGUUAAAAAUUUUCAGUCUCACCCUUGCAGUUUCUGAUUUAGUAGGUUUAAGGUAAGGCCCAAUAAUUUGCAUUUCUAACUAGUGCCCAGAUUACACUGAAACUGUUUUUUCAGGGACCAUAUUAAGGAAGCAGUGCUGUGAAGGAUAUAAAGUCUAACAAAAUGUGACAGGCAUCACUGAUGGUAAAAUAUAGGGAAAAACAUGAGAUUUGGAGUAACAUUUCUGCAGAUUUGAACUGCAGCUCUGCCACCUUUCAGCUAAGAGAAUAUGCAGUUACUCCAGUAUUAAUUUCAAAAAUUAGGACGAAAAUGCCUAUCCUGAUGCUUGUAAAGUACUCAACAUUUCUCUGGCACACAAAGAUCACGCAAUAAAUGUUAGCAAACUAUCAUGUACUAUCAAAUAUUAAAACAAUAUACAAAUGUUAAUCAGAACAAGUAAAACAACAAAUAUACCACACAAUAUUGAUCUGUAUAUGUGACAAAAGUGGUAUUCAACUGAAUGUGCACAAAACAUUGUAUCAAUGGUCCUAAUAUAAGAGUCCAUUCACCUAGAACAAAACAAACUAGAACUCCAUCACACACUAUUCAGUAGACAAAUUCUGACAAGACUAAACUUCUAAAUAUAUGUAUUUUUAAACCCCAAAGAAUAUUAAAAUAUAUUUUAGCAGUAUGUAUUGUAUAACACUGUCAUGAGUUCAAUGUAACUUACACAUGAGAGGAAACCCAGAAACUAUAAACCCAGAUAUUUCUGAUUACAUAUUUACUAAUUAUGUUAAAUACACCAUAAAAAUUGCAAGGAAGAUACCAAUUAUUUCACUAUGUGAUAAUAGGUUACUUCUAACGUUAAAAAAUCUAGCUAUCACUAAAUAAAGCCUGGACAAAGAAUAUACAAAUUCACAGAAAAGGAAACAAACAGGAAAUAUGCAUUAAAACAAUUAAAUAUAAUUUCCCUUCAGAAUUGUAAAAGCUUUUUAAAAGGAAUAAUAUCCAGUGCUGGAAAGCAUUUGGGAAAAUAAUUAUUUUAUAAAUUGUUGGUGGAAGCUUAAAUUGCUAUAAUGCAUUUAUUUACUCAUAGUCUAAUUAUUAAAAUACACAAGUUUUCAUAAUAAUAUAGUUUCAAAUAUAUAAAAAAGCAGAAACUAACAAAAGGAAGGACAAGAAGACAAACCACCUUUCUGGUGUAAGUAGUUACCUUCUGAAAUUAAGCAUACAAAAUUUGUAAGGAGACAUGAGAUACAUAUGUAAAAUAUAUGCUUAAUUUGUAUAAAACAAUUCAAUUAGAGAACAUACAUUGUUUUAUGUAACAUGUGACAUCUAUGAAAACUGACCAUGACAUAGAUCAUACUACGUUUUUUCAACCCAAGCACUGCCUGGAGACAAUUUGAAACAGAAAACGCUCUUCUGAAUAACUCAUGUGUCAAAGGAAAAAAUAAGUAAUUACAGAAAACCAGAUUUAAACAAUAUAGAAAUGUUACACACCAAAGGUUGUCAGUCUGUAUUAAAGAACACUGAAAAUUGGUGAGCUGAACUUUCAACUCAGGUUAGAAAGCAGGCUGACCAAAGAACUCAGUGACCCCCACAGCUAACACUGCAGACUCCAUCACUGACCACAGACUCUCAUCACUGACUCCCACAUCCCAAUCACUCAUCUCAAAGGGCCCGGUCAUUUACAGGAGGUCCCCCGACACUGACAAACAUCAACGGACCCCCGCCCCAUCACUGAACCCAGAACCGUCACUACCACUGCACCGCUCACAUUACUAACUACACAGAAUCCCUAAUCGCAACCAACCAAAAUCAGCUCAGAGACUUCUUGCCAUUAAAAUAUGGAAAUAUUCCUAAUAGCAGCAGUGAAAAAGCCUUCAUGCACCACUUCCACUUCCGGUUUGACUUGUAAAAUCUCCCCGGGGGACUGUUGGUACUGCGCAUGCUCCGAAUUACCUUCGCUGCCACAUUAAGCCAACAGUCAACAUGGCGCACACACUUCUUUGUAGACUGCGGUUUCCAGAAGAGGUGCGGUAGGGCUACAAACAUGGCCGCGCCCAGUGGUACUUCUCUAUGUGGGCUGCCAUCUUAGAAGCUUCUCUAUUCCGUAGCAUAGGAGUCGGUCCCCUGCCAAGUUCCAUGACAUGAGACUGGAUUGUGACCUAAAACGCAGAACUGUCGCCUUAUCUGGAUAGGCUUCCGGGAGGAGGGAGGACCUGGACAUGGGGUCUGGAACUUUACGUUACACGUUAAAAAGCUAGUUGCCCGAGGGAUACAGCAGGCAGCAAAUCCAGCGAGGAAAGACCACUUAGAGGAAGGGGUCGUGGGAGAAACCACAGGGAAAUGAGGGGAGAAAACAGGACGGCACAAUCCGCUCUGUGAAGAAACUACUCAGGGAGAAAAUGGAGAGGCGAAGACGGGAGUCUGUCCCCUGGGCGAAACCCCAAGCGACAAUGAGACAAAACAUUGGCAUUACACUUGAAGUCAGAGUGGUACAACCUUCCAUGGGAGAAACCACCUCGGGAAGUAGGGUAGAAGUUGAGAGAGGAGGUAGAGCAGGAGCCAGUCUGGGAGAUACCACCU